rnacentral:lncRNA from 1 species
AGUAAUCUAGAGGUGAUUUAAAGUCUACGGAAGGAUGUGCAUAGGUUAUAUGCAAAUACUAUGCCAUAUUAUAUCAGAGCAUCUGUGAAUUUUGGUAUCUCUGGGGUCCUGGAACCAAUAUCCUGAGGUUUCUAAGGGACAACUGUAUUCAAUUUCUUCUCUGGUUAUUAGUCUAUUCUCUAAUGUAUUUUUGUUGUUGUUUUGUCUUUUUGUUUUUGCCUCUUCAAGUCAAUGUCGGAAACUUAGUUGUUUUAGACAACCCAUUAGCUCAGAGCUACCAGUAAGCAGACUACCACUGCAAUCUAAGCAACGGAUUUUUUCCCCCAUCAGACUGGCAAAAAAUAAGCAUCUAUUGAUGUUGAAAUUGUAGGGAGUUUUCCUGAGCAUGUUAAUUAUGACAGCCCUUUUUGCUAGGCACCUACACAAUUCAUCAAAAUGAAAUAAAACACCCAUGCACUUGAAGAAGUUAUCUGGUUAUUUCCUUAUCUGGGUGCUGGUUAUGUGAGGUCUACAGUUAAUGAACACUUAUUAAGCUUUAUAUUUCUAAUAGGUACAAUUUUCUGCAUGUGUAGUAGAUUUCAAUAGUUUUUAAAAUGUCUUUUGCCGCAGCCCGCAGCUGUGUAUAAUGCUAUUCGCUUAACAGUGGAAAACAUGGCAAUGACCUGAAUCCCCCUGGCUCCCGGGAUCCUACCCCCUUAAGUUAAACAAAUGAAAUAACUUCCACUGUCUUUCCUAAUGUCUUAAUUCGGUCCUCAGUUAAACUGGCGGUGGGCGCUGCUUUUUUUCCAGGGAAGGAUUCUGGAAGACAUAGGAGGAGACGCCAGCAUUUCGCCCUCCAGCACCUCCUGCGGGCUGUGGUCCGCUUCCGGCCUCACUCGAGCAGACCCCGCCCUCCCAGAGGCCGUUUGUCCAAGUCACGUGAUCGUCGAAUCUGUUGACCUGGCGCCACCGGAAAAAGAAAUUCCCGGGCCCUGGCUUCUUGGCCUGAUGGCACUGCUAGCCUUGAAGCCUCCAGCCUGCUGGAUGCCUCCAUCCCCGGCUAUGCUGUGGCUCUCCUCAUUCUAGGCCUCCUGCUCGUCACAUUCACCCUUGUCCUGGUGCUAAAGUGGAGGGCCUCCCAUGGGGUGUUCAGCCUGGGUGUGUAGAAGCACACAGUGUGGUACAGAGGACCCUCUCCAGACAGGUAAGUGGAGGGCGGUUCUCCCUGACCCCACCCCAAUUGUUUGUUCUGGGUGGGGUCCACCGCGCCCCCUGCCAAGGCCUUCUGCAAACACUCCCCAGGGGCUGUUGUGGGCAGCACCUGGGUGGUGCAGUUGGUGUGCCAGAAAAGCUCCCCAGUACUGGGCAGUGGCCCAGGCAGUCAAGCAGACUCCCUCAAGCAGGCCCCACCUACCCCUCGCCUGUUCCCAGCUGCCUCCCACCAACCCUAGAAAUGAUGCUGGGAGCUGACAGAAACUGAACUUAGGAGCACAGGAGGCCAGGAGACCUGGGACAGAGAACAGGAGGUGACCCCUCAUGCUGCUGCUCCCUCUGCUGAAACCCAAACUGCAAACCUCUCCUCUCCCUGCCUUCACCUUGCCCCACGGCUUCCACAGACAGUGCCUCAACCCCGAGGAAUGAAUCCGAAGUUCCAACACCACUGACUUUCCCAGGAACUCAGAGCCAGAGAGGGCCAAGGACCAGCUCGAGGACACACAGCCAGGGCUUCUUCCCUCCGAAACCCCCAAGGACUGGACUUGCAGGGCUGGGACAGAGGUGGGGUGGGGGAAAGCAAUGCCUUGUCAACCCACGUGGGGAGCCCCACUCCCAUCCCCAAGGUGCAUAAAGUUGAGGAACACCCCUGCU